UUUAAAAAUUGAAUUUAACUUUUAAGUGAAAAGACUUAAAUAACCUAAUAGGACGAUAAGACCCUAUAAAACUUUAUAUAAAUACAGGAAAACUAAUAAAUUAUAUGUUUAAAUAAUUUAUCCUAUUAAUAUAUUUUGUUGGGGCGACAGGAGUAUAAAUAAAUAACUGCUCCAAAUUAAGACAAUUAUAUUUGAUCAUUACGACCCUUUAUAAAGAUUCAAAGAAAAAGUUACUUUAGGGAUAACAGCGUAAUUUUUUUUGAGAGUCCUUAUCGACAAAAAAGUUUGCGACCUCGAUGUUGAAUUAAAGUUCCACUAUAGUGCAGCAAUUAUAGAAGUAGGUCUGUUCGACCUUUUAAACUUUACAUGAUUUGAGUUCAAACCGGUGUGAG
rnacentral:rRNA from 1 species